GAGCAUUGAGCUGAGAGCAAGCCAGGGAGCAGGCUUCUUCUAGGGCUCCCGCUUCUGCUCCCUUUGAGGGCCUGCCAUGACAUUCUUCAGCGAUGAACUGUGACCUGGAAGCCAGAGAAGGAGGUCUGUGUCUCCCAGCCUCACCGGCUCUGAGAGCACCGAACUUUACCAUCUAGAGGUGUACACACCGGGAAGGGCGGCACACCUGAAGUGAUCCCUUCGGCAGAGGAAUGAUCACAUCAGCCUGAAAGGUAGGCGACCCUUUGAGUAGAGGACAGUGUUACAAUGAUACAGAACAGCGAUACAGUGUUACAGAAGAGCGAUGCAGUGUUACAGAAAAGGUGCUGAGCCCCAGCUCUGCAGUUCAGUAUCCCAGCGACCUUGACCUUGGACACGUUCUUCAGGCUUCUCUGUCUGCAUUAAAUAAACAGGUAUGAGAACACAGAGCC
rnacentral:lncRNA from 1 species